GCCCACUUAGCUCAGCUGGUAGAGCACUUCCAUGGUAAGGAAGGGGUCGACGGUUCGAGUCCGUCAGUGGGCUUCA
rnacentral:tRNA from 1 species